AACACAAAAUGCCAAAACAUUUGGCAGCUGGAUUAAAGGAGGAGGACAUGAAGUACAGACCAGCAGGUCUUCUUUCAGCUGCUGCUUCUUUUGGCUGCUCCCGUUAGAGCAGGGGUCCCCAAUCUCAGUCCACGAGGGCCGGUGUCCUGCAGGUUUUAGAUCUCACCCUGGGUCAACACACCUGAAUCAAAUGAUUAGUUCAUUAGCAGGCCUCUGGAGAACUUCAAGACACGUUGAGGAGGUAAUUUAGCCAUUUAAAUCAGCUGUGCUAGAUCAAGGACACAUCUAAAACCUAACUCAUCAUCUGCCUCCAUCUCACCCUGUCCUAAACGUUUUCCUCUGUCACACCAACCUUCUGCAUCUCCUCCAUCACUCCAUCGAUGAACCUCAUCUGUGGUCUUUGUAUCCGCAUGUGUCAAAGAUUUUAUGCCGGAUGCUCUUCCUGACGUACUUCUGCCCUUUUAUCUGGGUGUAGCACUGACACUAGGAGUACACUGGCUUGUGGCCGCUCCUGUGGAUGGCUUGAAUGAAUUUGGACAAAACAUAAAAAAGCAAACUAAAAAGGCUGAAGACACUGUUGGCGACUGGACUGAAAGUGGAAAAAUCAGUGAAUGAUGGAAAAUUUCUCUAACAUUAAAUCCUCUGUCUUUUGCGCAUGCUAAGGAAAUCGCAUACCCGCAUGCACAUACCCCAGCAAAAUGCGGCACAUCUUGCUACAAACCCUUUUGGACUUAAAAAGACAAAAAACAACAGCAAAAAAAAUCCAAGGAGCUGACAGGAGAAAAAAAUGCUGCUGUGUGGGGAGGUAUUUGCUGGAAAGGAGCUCAAGAAAGUGUCAACACUUUUAAUGGCCAGACAGGACUUGGACAGCUUUGUAAAAGCAGUCAAAAACAGUGUGACACUAUGUGCGAGGAGACAGACAGAAAACUGAAAGAAAAGGAGAAGUAAGCCUGGACCUUAAAAGAAAAUCUGAGCAUCCAGCAGAGUGAGAGUGAGAAGGUCAAAAAACACCAAGCGACAGAGUGCAAACAAGGCAGUGAGGUGAAGCUGUCACUAAACACAACAGCAAAGCUGGCGGGGGGGGGGUGACCAUUGAGUUUAAAACUCUGUAGGAACACUGUGGAAAAACUUCAUCCAAGACAGCUGAAAUUUCAAACUUGAAAUGAUGGCACUGGUAUGAAAACAUUUGGCCAAGCUGAAAACAAUUAAGCCGAAACACCACCAGAGCAAAACAGAAUGCCAGAAAAAUUUCAAAGCUCUGGAGGACUGUCUCAGAUGUGAGCUGGCAGCAAGGGAGACCUGCUUCAAAAGAAAGAAAGAAAGCGAAAAAGCUUCAGAAACAGAGAAGAGACAAUAAAGAGAAGCGGCUUUCCAUGGUGAGGAGUUUGUCAACAUGGUGAGAAAGCUGGAGGAGGAGAUCAGGCUCACGAGCCAUGCAAAACGCUGAGCUAAUGCCAUUUUACCUAAUCGUUUGAGUUACAUGAUAAUAUGAUGGAUUGUAGGAUUUUUUUCUUUUCAAAAUGAAAAUAAAAUGCUUUGUGUGUCUUUUUAUGAGCUUACCUUAAAAACUGACGAAGGCAAAGCCGAGAUGAAAAGGGAGAAGGCUAGAGAUGGAAGUAGUAGAGAAACAAGAGAUUAAGAAAGCAUGAACAUAAAGUGAAAACAGUUGAAGAAAGAGCAAAAUAAUAGGAAUACUACAAGAGAAAAAGAAGGGGAGAGACAGAACAAAAAAUAAGGAGAGAUAUAAAAGAAAAGAAGGAGGAAAGCAGAAAGACAGAAAAGUAAGUCUCCCUUCUUAAACCCCACUUUCCCUUUUACCUAGUAAAUGCAGUUAGGUCCAUAUAUAUUUGGACAGAGAAAACAUUUUAUUUAUAAUUUUGGUUCUGCACAUUACUCCAAAGAAUUUUAAACGAAACCACUCAGAUGCAGUUGAAGUGCAGACUUUCAGCUUUAAUUCAGUGGGUUGAAUAAGAGAUUGCUGGCAAUGACAGCCUGACGUCUUGAACUCAUGGACAUCACCAGAUGCUGGGUUUCCUCCAAUUUAACGCUCUGCCAGGCCUUUACUGCAGCAGCUUGUUUGUGGGCCUUUCUGUCUGAAGUUUAGUCUUUAUCAAGUGAAAUGCAGCUCAAUUGGGUUAAGAUCAGGGGACUGGCUUGGCCAUUGAAGAAUAUUCCACUUCUUUGCUUUAAUAAACUCCUGGGUUGCUUUGGCUAUAUGUUUUGGGUCAUUGUCCAUCUGUAUUAUGACACCCAAUCAAUUUGACUGCAUUUAGCUGGAGCUAAGCUUUGAGCAUGUCUUUGUACGUGUCUCUGAACACCUCAGAAUUCAUUCAACUGUUUUUGUCCUGUGUCACAUGAUCAAUAUAAACUAGUGUCAGAGUACCACUGGAAGCCAUGCAUGCCCAACCCACAACACUGCCUCCACCAUUUUUUACAGAUGAUGUGGUAUGCUUUGGAUCAUGAGCUGUUCCAUGCCUUCUCCAUACUUUUUUGCCAUCAUUCUGGUAGAGGUUGAUUUUGGAUUCAUCUGUCAAAAAAAUGUUUUUCCAGGACUAUGUUUUUUUUAUGGCUUAGGAGUGGCUUGCACCUUCCAGUGAACCCUCUGUAUUUACUUUCAUGUAGUCUUCUCUUUAUGGUUGACUUGGAUAUUGAUACCUUCUGAAUGUUGUUCACUUGGUUGGCUUUUGUUGAUCAUCCACCACUGUUGUCUUUCUCUGAUGGUUUUUUCUGUUUUCGAGGUUUAAGGAAGGCUUUUGUCACCUGCAUGGAGAGCUCCUUUGACUGCAUAUUGUCUGUUCACAGCAAAAUCUUCCAAAUGCAAGCACCAC
ensembl:lncRNA